rnacentral:rRNA from 1 species
GGUUUCUGCUAAGUCGCAAGACGAUGUAUAGGAGCUGACGCCUGCCCGGUGCUGGAAGGUUAAGGGGAUCUGUUAGAGCAAUCGAAGCAGUGAACUUAAGCCCCAGUAAACGGCGGCCGUAACUAUAACGGUCCUAAGGUAGCGAAAUUCCUUGUCGGGUAAGUUCCGACCCGCACGAAAGGCGUAACGAUUUGGGCACUGUCUCAACAACAGACUCGGUGAAAUUGUAAUUCCGGUGAAGAUGCCGGAUACCUGCGACAGGACGGAAAGACCCCAUGGAGCUUUACUGUAGCUUGACAUUGGGUCUUGGUACUACAUGUACAGGAUAGGUGGGAGGCUUUGAAACCAGGACGCCAGUUUUGGCGGAGCCAUCCUUGGGAUACCACCCUUGUAGUACUGGGACUCUAACCAUAGGCCAUGAAUCUGGUCUUGGGACACUGUCAGGUGGGCAGUUUGACUGGGGCGGUCGCCUCCCACAAGGUAACGGAGGCGCUCAAAGGUUCUCUCAGUACGGUCGGAAAUCGUACGUAGAGUGUAAAGGC